GUUACUUGGAGGAAAACGCACCCACCAGUUGUGAUAAGAUUUUUUUUUCCUUUGUAGAAAUAAAUUUGAGUGUUUUUUUCUAUUCACUUUCAGAACUAGCAGUAGAAAUGAAAAGUAGUGAUGACCAACUUCUUAAAAAUUUGGAACGUGUAAAUUCAGUGGAAGAUAUCCUCUCUCUAGUCCGCCGUCAUUUGUCAGUAAUGAAUGGUUCCCAUAAAUGCUACGCGAUACUAACACUCUUCCAAAAGCACAAAAAUAAUUUAACAUCCUUGUCCAAAGAAGAAAUCGUACAACAGACGGAGUUCAAAAAUCUGUGCAAUGCCAGCGUAAGUCACCUCAGGUUGAUGGAGCUGAGCGAUCAGAUCAACUGGCUCAAAUGUUUGUCGUACUUUGGAGUUCCUGCAAAAACGCGAAUCAUGCAAAUGCUCUUGAAUCUAAUCUCAAAGCAAGUGAAUCACCUAUCAAUUCCGGAAAUUAUGUACAUAGACUUUUUACUACAUCAUCAAGAUAAAUGUCCGCUGGUCGAUGCCCUCAAAAUUGCCUUGCCCAUUGUGUUCGAAGUGAGAGUUGAAAGAGAGAUGGACGGCUCGGAUCUAGAAUAUCUUCGAGAAUGUCUCCAAUAUGCUUCAAGCAAAUCCGUGUCAAGGUCAUGCUUCAAUUUUCUGGUCUCUCUUUUAUCUGCUUAUGAUAGAGAUAUACCACCGAAAGUUGCUGAGUCCAUUCUGCGAUCGCUCUGCAACUGGCCGGAGCACCAAAAAGCGCACGCUAUCCUCCUGCUACGAGUCAUGGAUAUUGUAGCUGGGUCUGCUCAUGAGUUUAAUAUUUCGGUGAUUAUUGGCCUUCUAAGCAAGUACUCAAAAAAGCAGAGCAGCAUGAAGCAUACCGACAUGCGAUAUUAUCGACGAAUUUGUUAAGCAGUUGCUAAAUAGAUCUUCCUCAGUCCUCUGGCAGACUGCGAUCACACUUUUUGUUAAAUUGUGCGAAGUGGUAAGAUUUUCUUUUUCUCCGUUUCUUUAAUCCUUCAGACUUUUUUUCAACAGGCCCCAAGACAAUUAACCCACUCGCCUACAUUGACACAGGGUUGCCAGCGACCGGGAAAACUGGGAAAGUCAGGGAAAAAAAAUCAACCGGAAAAGUCAGGGAAAGUCAGGGAAUUUCGGUGUUGGUCAGGGAUUUUUCUGAUUUUUCGUGGAAUUAGGCGCGGGCGGUUCUAAAAAUUUAAAUAGUCGAAAAUAGCUGUCAUUUUCACUUUAACAGACUGCGUCAGAUCCAUACUUAAAAGUCAGGGAAAAUAUUGGAAAGUCAGGGAAUGGAAAAAAAUAAUUUGGCUGGCAACCCUGUUGACAAGUGUACUUGUCAUUGCUAUCUUGGAACAAUUUCUCAUCGAUAAGUUAACUUGCGCGGUCGCUGGUGAUUGCUUUGGUUGU
rnacentral:lncRNA from 1 species